UACAGAGGUCUCAAGCGUUGUUCGGAUUCAUUGGGCGUAAAGGGUGCGUAGGCGGCGCGGUAAGUCGGGUGUGAAAUCCCGGGGCUCAACCCCGGAACUGCAUUUGAAACUGCCUUGCUCGAGUACUGGAGAGGAGACUGGAAUUUACGGUGUAGCAGUGAAAUGCGUAGAUAUCGUAAGGAAGACCAGUGGCGAAGGCGAGUCUCUGGACAGUUACUGACACUGAGGCACGAAGGCCAGGGGAGCAAACGGG
rnacentral:rRNA from 1 species